CCUACGGGAGGCAGCAGUGGGGAAUAUUGGGCAAUGGGCGGAAGCCUGAACCAGCCAAGUCGCGUGAGGGAUUAAGGCCCUGCGGGUCGUAAACCUCUUUUGCCGGGGAGCAGAGGUCCGGACGUGUCCGGGCCGGGAGAGUACCCGGAGAAAAAGCAUCGGCUAACUCCGUGCCAGCAGCCGCGGUAAUACGGAGGAUGCGAGCGUUAUCCGGAUUUAUUGGGGUUAAAGGGUGCGUAGGCGGGCAUUUAAGCCGGCGGUCAAAUGUCGGGGCUCAACCCCGGCCUGCCGUCGGAACUGGGUGCCUUGAGUGGGCGAGAAGUAUGCGGAAUGCGUGGUGUAGCGGUGAAAUGCAUAGAUAUCACGCAGAACCCCGAUUGCGAAGGCAGCAUACCGGCGCCCUACUGACGCUGAGGCACGAAAGUGCGGGUAUCGAACAGGAUUAGAUACCCCGGUAGUC
rnacentral:rRNA from 1 species